UAAAGUGUAGAAUGUAAAAAAAUAUGAGUGUAGAAAUCAAAACCCAAUUUAUAUUAUCUCGUUUAAAGAAUGUUUAGGUUGAUAUUUGAGCAACAUAAAUGACGAUUUAACAAUGACCAUCAUGAUGAGUUUUAUUGCAAAACUUUUGUAAGUCCUUCUAAACCAUGGAACUAUGACACCCAAGUCCAGUGGUUGUUACGUACUUGAUGAUUGCAAUGACUACUUUGUUUGAUAAGGGCCUCAUUUCUUGGAAUUCUGUAAAAAGCGAAAGUUGAAAAUACUUUAUUCAUCGCAAAAGUUAUGUCCCUUUAGACCCUCUUUGGAUCCUCUUACAUCUUCACGUCGUCUAUUUAAUCUUAUCGAGGGAAUCGCUUGGCUGUGAUAGUUCUCUGAUCAGAUGUUAUUGGUUUUUUAAUCUUCCGUCAUCACCAACAAGUUCAGUUUUCAACUCUUUUAUUUCGUGUCAUUUGCACUUCAAUAAUGUAUCCAAGUGGGGCGAGAAGUUCUGGCAAUUCUAGUUUCAUACUUGCUGCAUCAUUAUUGGAUUUGACAUGGGCUUUGUUGUUUUUCAGGCUUCGUUUAGAAGUGAAAGAGGCGUAAGAAAAAUUUAGGUCGGAUUUCCUUUCCUAUUUGUUUGCAAGGUGGCACUCGUGAUCAGUGUCACGCUCCGGUACGUUCUACAUUAAUGACAUACAAUUUAUAGUACGAAGACAUAACGGAGAUACAUGAUGCCUAUACAUAACGUUAUUUUCAGAAUAAACAGCCAUGGGGGGACACAGAAUAGGGGAUAUGGUGUUUGUAUAUCUUAAUAAACAAUUUGUAUGUAAACUAAAUACAAUUUGAAUGUAACGGUGGUGCUGGAUUUAGUACUUCUGCUAUUACAUAUAAUUCUUUUUCCCUUCAACAGGUGCUAUCCACAAAGAAGUGGGUUUAUAACCCUAAGGGGUAGUUCAGUUAGUAAAAAUUCUGGCUUUAUGUUAAAGGGUUGCCAGUUCAAGUCCCUUCAGAGCCACGAAAAGUCUGCCUGUAAUUAACUUCACGGCCCAGAUACCCAAUUGAACUUGGUAGAAAUUGUAGGCUAUUAAAAUAAAAGAAGAAGAGGUGUAGUUAUGACCAUCUAUCUACUCCCUCUCCUAGAUUUUGUUAGAAGCCAAAUAGCUUCGAGUAUCGGUCCGACUUCUUUUCACAAUAUAUUUUUUUUAUGGAUUUUUUUUAUCACAUGAGCUUUUUUAGUUAAGUUCUAAACUGGAACAAGUUCAGGAGAGUACCCACCAUUAAGGGUCUGUUUCGAGCUUGUAGAAGAAUGAGAAAAUAUAAAUGAGAGAAAAAUAAUCGAGAAAGGUGGUUAUUUUCUUUUGUUUGUUUUUAAAAAAUCAAAAGAAGCUAGAAAAUAACAAAAAAAAUAUGCUCUUUUCAGAAACCCUGAGGCUUCCAAUUUAAUAUUAAAAUUUUACUUUAAAUUAUAAUCAUCAUUGAAAUAUGUUCAAGAUCUUUUUCACUUCCUCUCAAUACUUGAAACCAAACAAGGAAGAAGAAAAUCACUAUUUCCCACUUCCAAACAGUCUAAAGUCUGCUUAUCAAAUUACCAAUAUGCAUAUUACUUGGCUGUUUUAGUCCACGUUGCCCCUACUCACCAAUCGGUUCUGUUGGCAAGCCAGGAUUGUACGGCGCGAAACCCGCGCACCAAACACAGAACGAAUGAAGGAAUCAUCAAACCUACGCCAGAGGCGAUGGACGGUGUGAAUUGGAGUCGUAAAAAGCAAGCACAGGUGGUUCGCGUGAGUGAUAUUAUGGUCACCUAGGUCCAAUUCGGAGUCAAGACCACCUCCGAAUCGGGGGUUCGAUAGAUCCCAUGAAAGGUUUUAAGAAUAUAAACUUUACUAAAAAUAUUACCUAUAACAAAAUUUAUGACAUUUUAAAGUUUAUAAUGCAAAAAGGAGUGUCACCUCAGUUUUGUGAAUCAUGCUUAAUUGGGUGUGUUAUGGGCACUCCAGGAUGGGGUGAACUUAUAAAUUCUCUGGUCACUCCAUCCUUGCACAUGGAACUUAUUUUUACUAUUACUUUUUAUAAAACAAAACAGUUAAAUAAGAUAUUCACAAUUUUUUUAAAAUAACGUAAAUGUUCAAUUUUUCUAAUAAAUAAUUACUGUUGGCAAUGUGAAUUCAAAUCUUGAAAAAAAAUAAAAAAAUAAUUUAGUUUUAAUGAGAAAUAAUAAUUAAAAAAAAUUGUAGUUGAAGCUGUACAAAAAAUAAUCUAAAAUUAAUUUUUAUCAAAAAUGAUAUUAAUACUUUUUUAGUUUCAAAAAAAUUUGGAUUAGAAAUGCUUAAAGAUAAAAAAGAAAGAAAAAAGAAAAAAAGAGUAUACAUGUUAAAAAAAAAUUUACUGUUCAAUAUAUUUUCGCAUAUUUUUAUACAAUUUUUAUGAAAUUCAAGCUCUAUUUGUUUUAAUUAAAAAAUCUCAAUUUUUUUACUUUUAGCUAAAAUAUGAAAAUUAAGAUAAA
rnacentral:lncRNA from 1 species